AGACAUGAAUAAACUAUCAAUCUAAACAAUGUGGUCAAGAGUAUUGUAUUAGAGAAAGACCGUAUUGCAUUUGUAAUCCUAAACUGAAUAGGUUUUCUACCUCUUCUGAUUAGCUUGGGUAACCAUGAUAUGCUGCUAGGUGUCACUCUUGGUUUGUGGAAGCCCUAAACGUGUAUAACACUAAAGGGAGAAUUGAAAGUAAGUUUCAAUUCACAAUCGAUUUGAAAGAGUUUUAAUCGCCCACUGCCUCGCUAAAAGGAACCUAAUGGAUCAUACACCGUGUAAGGUGGAGAUUGAAGAAACAAUGGAGAUGAGUAAGAAUAAUUAAAUGGUUUGAUUAUUUAUGGCAAGGAUUAAUUAAUAUGUUAAUUAAUCAAACGAAUAAGUUCGUUAAAGACCUCGGGAUAGU
rnacentral:lncRNA from 1 species